rnacentral:tRNA from 1 species
UUCUAAAUAGUUUAAAUGAAGAACAAAAUUUUGAAGAAAUUUAAGUAGUGUAAAACUUUUGGA